GUGCAGCAGGCGAGAAACUUUACAAUGUGCGAAAGCACGAUAAGGGAACUCUGAGUGCCUCCUAAGGAGGCUGUUCAGGUGUCUAAAAGCACCUGAAGGAAGGGCUGGGUAAGACCGGUGCCAGCCGCCGCGGUAACACCGGCAGCCCAAGUGGUAGCCACGUUUAUUGGGUCUAGAGCGUCCGUAGCCGGCUGGGUAAGUUCCUUGGGAAAUUUGGCUGCUUAACAGUCAAGCUUUCAGGGAAUACUGCCCGGCUUGGGGACCGGGAGAGGUCAGAGGUACUCCAGGGGUAGGGGUGAAAUCCAUUAAAUCCUUGGGGACCACCGGUAGCGAAGGCGUCUGACCAGACCGGGUCCGACGGUGAGGGACGAAGGCUAGGGGCGCGAACCGGAUUAGAUACCCGCGUAGU
rnacentral:rRNA from 1 species